rnacentral:rRNA from 1 species
GACGAACGCUGGCGGCGUGCUUAACACAUGCAAGUCGAGCGGGGAUUGAUGGAGUGCUUGCACGAAAUCAAUUCUAGCGGCGGACGGGUGAGUAACGCGUGAGCAAUCUGUCCUACACAGGGGGAUAACAACUGGAAACAGUUGCUAAUACCGCAUAAGACCACGAGGUCGCAUGGCCAUGGGGGUAAAAAGAUUUAUCGGUGUAGGGUGAGCUCGCGUCUGAUUAGCUAGUUGGUGAGGUAACGGGCCCACCAAGGCGACGAUCAGUAGCCGACCUGAGAGGGUGAUCGGCCACAUUGGGAACUGAGACACGGUCCAGGACUCCUACGGGAGGCAGCAGUGGGGAAUAUUGGGCAAUGGGCGCAAGCCUGACCCAGCAACGCCGCGUGAAGGAGAAGGUUUUCGGAUUGUAAACUUCUAGUCCUUGGUGACGAACACAAUGACGGUAGCCAAGGA